rnacentral:rRNA from 1 species
GACGAACCGUGCAACCGUUGUUCGGAAUCACUGGGCUUAAAGGGCGCGUAGGCGGGCUCCCAAGUCGGUGGUGAAAUCUUUCGGCCCAACCGGAAAAGUGCCGCCGAUACUGGGAGUCUCGAGGGAGGUAGGGGUCGAGGGAACUCUAGGUGGAGCGGUGAAAUGCGUAGAUAUCAGGAGGAACACCGGUGGCGAAGGCGGGUCUCUGGGCAACUACUGACGCUGAGGAGCGAAAGCGUGGGGAGCGAACAGG